rnacentral:rRNA from 1 species
AUUGAACGCUGGCGGCAUGCCUUACACAUGCAAGUCGAACGAGUGGCGAACGGGUGAGUAAUACAUCGGAACGUGCCCUGUAGUGGGGGAUAACUAGUCGAAAGACUAGCUAAUACCGCAUACUAUAGGAGCGGCCGAUGUCUGAUUAGCUAGUUGGUGGGGUAAAGGCCUACCAAGGCGACGAUCAGUAGCUGGUCUGAGAGGACGAUCAGCCACACUGGGACUGAGACACGGCCCAGACUCCUACGGGAGGCAGCAGUGGGGAAUUUUGGACAAUGGGGGCAACCCUGAUCCAGCCAUGCCGCGUGUAUGAAGAAGGCCUUCGGGUUGUAAAGUACUUUCAGCGGGGAGGCGUUACCCGCAGAAGAAGCACCGGCUAACUCCGUGCCAGCCGCCGCGGUAAUUC